UUCUCGAUCAGAAACCAUUUAGAAGUCCACAACAAAUAGCUGAAGAUUUACAGAGAAAAUUACAUGAAUGUUCAAUUCGAAGAAAUGCCCACAUCAAUUCUAUUAUACAGAGAAGUCGACUACAGAUUGAAAAAGUAACUAAAGCAAAAGCGAAAUUAGCGUCAAAAAGAGUUGAAAAUGCUAAAACGACAGAAACUGAUAUUCAGGAAAAAACAGAAUGCGCCAAGAAAAGUAGAGAAAAAUUCAUUAACGAUAGAGUAGAAAAAUUCAGGAAACAGGUUCAGCAUGCAGAGGAAAUCAAGGGUAAAAAAUUGGUAGGUGUAGAAAAUAAUUUUUCAAAUACUUUUGUUCGUUAAGCAUCAUUGGAACAAGAAAUGAUGGUUGAACUGAAAAAUUAAGUCAAAAAUAAAACACUUGUUUUCUAUUAUUAUUAGAAAGUGUUCAGUAAAAUCUCAAAACCGAACAAUACAUCGACUCCCAUCUUACGUUUCCCUACUAAUCCAUGAUUUCCCAACAGUCAUCAUAAUUAUAAAUAAAAUAGCAAUAAUAACUAUUCAAUUUUCAGGCCAACAACGUGUCAAAGUAAAAAAUCGAAAAGAUGACCCAAUUUAUCGGACGAUCAAGCGUAAUUAAUUAAAUUUGUUUCUAUUAAAAUUACAAAUAUUUUUAAUAACUUCUUUUAAGGAUUUUAAUUGCUGGUAUUUUUAAAUAAAAAUUUUAGUACAUUAUUUAGGUAAUUAUAAUUAUGAAAAAAAGUAACACACUACAUAAUAUUUUAAACAUUGUUUUUUUUCUUCGUUUAUAAAAACAAAAUAUGCGUAAUGCAGCUGUACAAUGUAUUGCUUUUAUUUUUACAAAAAAAAAAAUCAAACAAAUUCAAUAAGUAGGUAUGUAAAAUAAAAGUUAGAAUGUUGAAUGGCACUUCGUUUCUAGUAGCCUAUUUCUUUAGCUGGGUUUUUCACGAUAACAGUACAGUUGGGAACAUAUUUUACGGAGCCAAUAUCAAUAUUUCACAUUGAUUAGAUAUACAAGUCUCAAUAUACCACGUACGUGGUUUUUUAAACAUACCUUAACAAAUUAAGCAUUACAAAAUACAUCUACGCUAACAUUACAUACAUCUUACAAUUAUUACACAAAGUUACAAAAUGUUUAAUGAAACUUCACCCUUAAAACCCUUUUAUAAUAUCACUUUGUAUUUCAAUAAAAUGCAAACACUAUACAAAUACAAAUAAUACGAUGACGGUUUCUUCCCCCUUCCAAACGGUAUUUUAUUCGCCAAUAAUAAUUACCGCUGUCACUAAUAUUUGUACGAUAACAUUUAAAUUACCUACCAACUGUUUUCAGCUGGUAUUUAGAAAUUUCCAAAUUCACUAAAUCUCUCAUAUGUGCGAUUCUCUUUUAAAAUCAGUCUUAGGGAGCUCAAAUUUCAUAUGUUCGGCCGGGUACGCAGGCCGAUAAGUAAAUAGGUACCAAAAUGUUCUCACAUGUAAGUAGUGGUACGCAAUGUGGAAUAAACAAAGAAAAAGUGAUGAAAAUUUCGAAUAUUGUACUUUCGUUAACUCUCUCAUACCUAUGACUAGCGACGUCUACGAACGCGCGAAAAUAGUAUAACAAGGUAUACAAAAUAAAUAUUUAGAAUAAUAAACAAAUAUGGAAAAAAACGUGGUACACAAGUAACAAGAAAGAUACAUAAAUUGAAACAUAAAUUAAUCGAUUUUAACGGUAGCGUAAAUCUUCUGUACAAAAAUCGACGAUCCCAUAUAACCUAAAGUACCACACAUGAUACCUAACGCUAAACUAAAUAAAGCCAUAUACUCGAAGUAGAAAGCCGUUUGAAACAACCCGUACAU